rnacentral:rRNA from 1 species
UGCUACCUGCAGUCGACGCGAUUUCCCGCAAGGGAAUAGUAGAGUGGCAAACGGGUGAGUAACACGUGGGUGACCUGCCUUCGAGUGGGGGAUAACGUCCCGAAAGGGACGCUAAUACCGCAUGACAUCCUGCCGUUGAAUACGGCGGAGAUCAAAGCUGGGGAUCGCAAGACCUAGCGCUUGAAGAGGGGCCCGCGUCCGAUUAGCUAGUUGGUGGGGUAACGGCUCACUAAGGCGACGAUCGGUAGCCGGCCUGAGAGGGCGGACGGCCACACUGGGACUGAGACACGGCCCAGACUCCUACGGGAGGCAGCAGUGGGGAAUUGUUCACAAUGGGCGCAAGCCUGAUGACGCAACGCCGCGUGGAGGAUGAAGAUCUUCGGGUCGUAAACUCCUUUCGAUCGAGACGAAUGGCUCCCGUGCUAAUCAACGGGAGAAUGACGGUACCGAGAGAAGAAGCCCCGGCUAACUCCGUGCCAGCAGCCGCGGUAAUACGAGGGGGGCAAGCGUUGUUCGGAAUUACUGGACGUAAAGGGCUCGUAGGCGGCCAACUAAGUCAGACGUGAAAUCCCUCGGCUUAACCGGGGAACUGCGUCUGAUACUGGAUGGCUUGAGGUUGGGAGAGGGAUGCGGAAUUCCAGGUGUAGCGGUGAAAUGCGUAGAUAUCUGGAGGAACACCGGUGGCGAAGGCGGCAUCCUGGACCAAUUCUGACGCUGAGGAGCGAAAGCCAGGGGAGCAAACGGGAUUAGAUACCCCGGUAGUCCUGGCCCUAAACGAUGAAUGCUUGGUGUGGCGGGUAUCGAUCCCUGCCCGUGCCGAAACCUAACGCAUUAAGCAUUUCCGCCUGGGG